UGCGGUGUCCCGUAUCCCCCGCGUUCCUGGCGGUGGUACCCACCGCGCCGGCCAGGCAGCCUUCGGCAACAUGUGCCGUGGCGGACGCAUGUUCGCGCCCACCAAGAUCUGGCGCCGCUGGCACCGCCGCGUCAACAUCCACCUCCGCCGUGUCGCCAUCGCCUCCGCCCUCUCCGCCACCACCGUCCCGUCCCUCGUCCUCGCCCGCGGCCACCGCGUGGAGUCCGUCCCCGAGCUUCCGCUCGUCGUUUCCGACUCUGCCGAGUCUAUUGAGAAGACUACACAGGCCAUCAAGAUCCUCAAGCAGCUCGGUGCCUACGCCGAUGCUGAGAAGGCCAAGGACUCCGUUGGCAUCCGCCCCGGCAAGGGGAAGAUGCGCAACCGCCGCUACAUCAACCGCAAGGGACCCCUCGUUGUCUACGGCACGGAGGGCUCUAAGAUCGUCAAGGCCUUCCGCAACCUCCCUGGCGUUGAUGUUGCCAAUGUCGAGCGUCUCAACCUGCUCGACCUCGCUCCUGGUGGCCACCUUGGCCGGUUUGUCAUCUGGACUGAGUCCGCGUUUAAGAAGCUCGAUGAGGUGUACGGUACCUUCGACACGCCAUCGGCGAAGAAGAAGGGUUUCGUGCUCCCGAGGGCCAAGAUGGCAAACGCUGAUUUGUCCAGGCUCAUCAACUCUGACGAGGUGCAGUCAGUGGUGAAGCCCAUCAACAAGGAGGUGAAGCGUAGGGAGCCUAGGAAGAAUCCACUGAAGAAUAUGGCUGCAGUGCUCAAGCUGAACCCGUACCUUGGUACUGCACGCAAGAUGGCAGCCCUAGCAGAGGCAGCGCGUGUCAAUGCCAGGAAGCAGAAGCUUGACUCCAAGAGGACCAAACUCAGCCCAGUAUGAUAAUCUUCUCUGUAUACAGCUGUUCAUAGUAUUCUACAUUGUUUGUUAUUUAGAAUUGUAUACAUUUAUGGCUUCAGUACUGUACCAUUUCUUCGUCAUUGAUUGUGUAUUUUGACAUUUUCUAUGCUGCCUAUAGGUAUUGGGUAUGGUAUAUUUCUUGAAUUAGGUUGUAUUGUGUUAUAGCUUAAGUUGAUUGUUUAGAAUGGUACUAUUUGUUCCUAGUUUCUAGAUUGUGUUAAUAUGGUUAUCCAACAUGCAUGCGACUGAACCUUUAUGAGGAACUGUUGACAUUGAUGCUGCAUAUUUUGGCGUGCUGCUCAAGCUGUCAAUUCUUAUCGCUGGAUUAGGCCUAUUUCACAAUGUCCUGGGAGUUUGCUAGUUCAGAUAAUGAAUUAGUUGUUUACUCUAGUUUGCGGUGAAUCAUGUAACUUUCUGCUAUAUGGAACACCUCAAGUUACUGUUUCUCUAGCUAAUAAAUUAAAUCCACGAAAUGUUUCUUGACAGUGUAUUUUAUCUGGAACUAUAGAUUUUAAUAUAGUUCUUGUAUAAAUUUUGUCAGAGUUUGAUGUUAAACUUGGGACAAAACUAAAGCAGGCAACAGUUAAGCUCAUUAGCAGCUAUACAUUUCACAGUAGCUUAAUUAUUUCCACCAUAGAUUUAUCUUCAAGAUGUGAACUGAAUGACACAUGGUUGUUUCACGUUCUGCUGAUGUUCUUGGUCCUAGACACAUACACUCCGUUGUCAGUUAUUUUGCAUGCCUAUUGCUGUUCACACUCAGUUGUCAGUUAUUUGGUAUGCCUAUUGCUGUUCACAUAGGUUAGAUGAACUGUGCAUUGCAUUUCACCACUAAAUUGUUUGCUGUUAUAUAUUCCGUUUCCAAUACCAUCUUCCAAUUCAAUCUGACUAGAUGUAAUGUAUAUCUAGGUGCUUAAAAAAUUUUGUACCUAGAAAGGCCAAACA
rnacentral:lncRNA from 1 species